GUGUUAACUUUGGCAACACACAUUAAAACUGGAACACAGCAGAGAAAAUUAACAUAGCCCUUACAUAUGGAUAGCAGGUAAAUUGGUAAAAUGUUCCAUAUUAUG
ensembl:snRNA U6 U6 spliceosomal RNA